GCCAGGCACAGUGGCGCGUGCCGGUAGCCCCAGUUAUUCAGGAGGCUGAGGCUGGAGGAUCUCUUGAGCCCAGGAGUUCUGGGCUGUAGUGCGCUAUGCCGAUUGGGUGGCCACAAUAUGUUUGGCAUCAAUAUGGUGACCUCCUGGGAGCGGGGGACCACCAGCUUGCCUAAGAAGGGGUGAACCGGCCCAGGUCGAAAAUGGAGCAGGUCAAAACUCCCAUGCUGAUCACUAGCAGGAUUGUACCUGUGAAUAGCCACUGCACUCCAGCCUGGGCAACAUAUAGAGACUCCGUCUCUU
ensembl:misc_RNA Metazoa_SRP Metazoan signal recognition particle RNA